rnacentral:rRNA from 1 species
AUCAGCCUUUCGUGUGCGAUUCUGUGGAGUUUGAGGAGCUUAACACCUUCAUGCUUUUGCAUAUUCGUGCUCUUGGGUGUACUUGCCCGUGUGGUUGGUUAACAUCAAUUUCGGGCACCAUAAAAUGACUGGAGGAAUGUAGCUUUGAUCUUGUAUUGAAGUGUUAUAGCCUUCGGUAGAUGUGGUGAUCGAGAUUGAGGAUUGCAACGGAUACCUUUCGGGGCUACCUGUCUGAUCUCUGAUCGUUGCUUUGGUGCUGAAAGCGUGCUUAUAGUUAUCAAAGUCGAUGGUCAAUAGGUUAGAAUGGGUUAAAUUCGUUAAGGAUGUUGACGUAAUGGCUUU